rnacentral:rRNA from 1 species
CCUCUUCCCAUUCCGAACAGAGAAGUUAAGCCCACCCACGCCGAUGGUACUGCGUAUAGUGGGAGAGUAGGUAGCCGCCGUUU